rnacentral:rRNA from 1 species
UGGGGAAUCUUGCACAAUGGGCGACAGCCUGAUGCAGCAAUGCCGCGUGAGGGAAGACGGCCUUAGGGUUGUAAACCUCUUUCAGUUGGGAUGAAGGUUGGACGGUUAAUAGCCGCGCCAACUGACCGUACCUUCAGAAGAAGCUCCGGCUAACUACGUGCCAGCAGCCGCGGUAAUACGUAGGGAGCAAGCGUUGUCCGGAAUCAUUGGGCGUAAAGCGCGUGUAGGCGGUUACAUAAGUCUGUUGUGAAAGUCGGAGGCUCAACCUUCGAAAGCCGAUGGAUACUGUGUGACUUGAGUACGGAAGAGGAGAGUGGAAUUCCUGGUGUAGCGGUGAAAUGCGCAGAUAUCAGGAGGAACACCAACGGCGAAGGCAGCUCUCUGGGACGUUACUGACGCUGAGACGCGAAAGCGUGGGGAGCAAACA